ensembl:misc_RNA Metazoa_SRP Metazoan signal recognition particle RNA
GUCGGGCAUGGUGGUGCAUGCCUGUAAUCCCAGCUACUUGGGAGACUGAGGAAGGAGAAUCACUUGAACCCAGGAGGCGGAGGUUGCAGUAAUACAAGAUUGUACCACUGCACUCCAGCCUGGGUGACACAGUGAGACUCUGUCUCAA